CGUACUUGAAACCCGGCAAGACCGUUAAAAGCAUCGAAUCGUUGUCACAUCUCAUAUACGUCGGCAAUAAUAAUUGAUUCAUCGACGAUUUUACACACACAUUACACAUUAUGAGUAUCAUUGAUUUGCAAAGUACUGGAGAUGAAGGAUUGCUAACUGCAGACAGAAACAUAAAUAAAACAUGAUUAUGGACGAAGAAUAUUAAUGUACACUCAACGGAUGUUAUAGCAAUUAUACCGUAGUUGUAGAAGUUACUGCAAGAAUGAGACCAAGAUUAAUCCGAAAAUUAAAAGAGAAAAACAAAUUUCAACUCGAAAACGAAUAAAACAAUGAUACAAUUCUAAAUUGAUUAUAAUAUAGGUGUAGUACAUAUACCUAUGUUAUAUUGAAAAUCAGUGUAGGACAAAAUGGCCGCCAAUGCGUCGACCGUGUACAUGGGUUGUUAGACUCGUGCACGAAUCACCUAGCCUUCGUUCUUCGAAUCAGAGUCAUUAAUUGUAGAUACUCCACAUGCUUGUACCAAUUCGUACCGUCAAGUUUAUGGUUUUUACCUAACGAUAUAAAAAGUUACAAAAGUGUUGGUUUGUGGAACAGGAUAUAUGCCAGUGCGCAGAGGGUGAUAAGAAUAAUAUGGAACAUGUAUUGGCGUCUCGUGUAAUUUAUGUAAGAUCACUACUAUUCUACAGACCACUGCAACAAAAAUUUUAUAUAAUACAUUGAUUGGACUCCAAUACCAUAAGUUAAACUCUGUUAGAAAAUAAAUGUUAAGUGGACAGUAAGAAACUGCUCUGGCGUACAAUAGAUUCUGAAUGCAGCGGCGAUGAUAAGCGAAAGCGAACCGAAAGUAUCAAGUUGUUUACAGUUCGGCUCAUUAUCGAUUAGAAAGCUGACACCGCCAACAGUAAGCGGCAGUGUUUUAAAGUUCGAUUAUUUUUCCGAUGGUUUUUUUGUUUUUUUUUUUUUUUGGAAAUAUUAUAUAUUAUCGAAAUUCGAAAACUUUUUUUACAACGGUACAGAAUGGAUUGCUUCUUACUUGAAACAAAUUGAUUUAAGAUUUAAAAUCACUUUUUAUUAUUUAAUUUUUAUCUUACAGUUCGUUAAAAACAAUGCCUUGUUAUUAAGAUAGUAUUAAUAUUUUUUCUCUGCGUUCUGGUUUAGUAGUAAAACGUAUUAUCCAUUAUGUUUUUAAUCUAUACAUAUUUUCGAUAUUUUUGUUUUAUACAUAUUUAUUUGGCGCAUGUAUAUUAUGAUAAUUUAAGUAUCCAAGUAACGAUCGAAAAAUACACUUAUUGUAAUGAUAUUAUACAUUAUACAUGUAUAGUCAGUGAUCUGAUCUCUAAUAGAUUUAAAACUAAAAAGUUUAUAAUAAUAUGUACAUAAAAAUACAACUUAUCGCUACUUGAGCAAGUUUCAAAGUGUAUAACUUUAAGCAAAAAAUCUAAAAAUAAUGAUGUUUCGUUUUAUAAUAAAAUGUACAACUGUAAAACAAAAGUGCCAUUUAAGUCCAAAGUUAACACAUAUAAUUGAUAGGAUGAUCAUUAAUAUCUUUUUCUUAAAUAUUUUUCAGUAAUCAAAUUAAAGUAUUUCAAUAUAGUUCCUUUUGGUUUUAGCUAAUUUGUUUGAAUAAAACAGUAGUUUAACGUAAUCUGUUAACGCACCUCGUUCAGUUCAUUUAACUUGGAAAUAAGAUAAACACGAUAAUUAUUAUUAUAAUGAUGCUUGUUAAUUGUUAAGUGAAUUAAUAAUUUUUAAUUACUUGAAAUGUUUUACUAUCACGAAUCUUAAUCUUAAAAGAGACUCAUUUUUUGUUUUAACUUAAAAAUUCGGAAAACAUUUUGUUAAAUUGGAUUUAUCUGGGACUGUAUUUUUAUUUGGAAAUAUAAUUUGAAAGGAAAGUACUAGUAUUUACUUAAAAAGUAUGAAUUUGUAAAUUAAACCGUUUGUAAAUAUUAUUUUGAGUUUGUAUUUAUUUAAAACAAAUUUUGUCGGAAUAGGAUUAGCUCGAAAACAUAUGGUUGGAAAAGUAUUUGUUCGGAAAGGUAUAAUACCGUAACCUAAUAUUAUACAUGAAAGUAAAUUUCUGAACAACUAGGAUUUCGAUAAAAUUAAUUUUUAGUUUAUUACAGUGUCACAUUGAUAUCAUCCUAUAAUCACAUAAUGUACAAGAAGUCAUAUCCCAUCUAAUAAGAUUGUUGA